CCUACGGGAGGCAGCAGUAGGGAAUCUUCCACAAUGGACGAAAGUCUGAUGGAGCAACGCCGCGUGAGUGAAGAAGGGUUUCGGCUCGUAAAGCUCUGUUGGUAGUGAGGAAAGAUAGAGGUAGUAACUGUCCUUUAUUUGACGGUAAUUACUUAGAAAGUCACGGCUAACUACGUGCCAGCAGCCGCGGUAAUACGUAGGUGGCAAGCGUUGUCCGGAUUUAUUGGGCGUAAAGCGAGUGCAGGCGGUUCAAUAAGUCUGAUGUGAAAGCCUUCGGCUCAACCGGAGAAUUGCAUCAGAAACUGUUGAGCUUGAGUGCUGAAGAGGAGAGUAGAACUCCAGGUGUAGCGGUGGAAUGCGUAGAGAUAUGGAAGAACACCAGUGGCGAAGGCGGCUCCCUGGUCUGCAACUGACGCUGAGGUGCGAAAGCAUGGGUAGCGAACAGGAUUAGAUACCCUGGUAGUC
rnacentral:rRNA from 1 species